GUCAUCGCAUAGGCAAUAAUCCGGCAUAAUUACUUGGAUCAUCUUUAAUAAACUUUAGUUAGCUAUAUUUUCCUUAAUAAUAAAUAAUAAUCUGGAUCGGCUAAUACUUAACUGUUGUUUGUGAUGGGCCGGCCUAUGAGUUAUCUCUAGUUUGUAAACAGUGGACCACCGCUAUGAGUUCUAAGACAAGUCAAAUGAAUUAGUUUGGAUUCUAGGGAGAGUUUAUGGAUUAGAUAUGUGAAGUGUGUGUUUGGAAAGGAGAGUUAGGUUAUCAACCUCAAUGACAAGACGCGUUCAUAUUGUUAUCGUUAUCAUCACAUUCACAUGGGACCAUUUUUCACAAACAUUUAAUUAGAGUGGGGACUUUGUCAUCCUGUGUUUCUUGUGACUCAACUUCCCCCCAUUUAUUAUCAAACGAUUCUUGUUUAUUAUCGCAGGUUCUUGUAACCGCAGACUGGAUUUUGAUGUCAAAAGAUUGCAGAACAAAAAGGACAUUGCAUUGCUCAGCGAACGAGGAGACAUCAAGAACAAGAACUUAAAGAGAAUGAAGUUGAACACACAAAUUUUCUACGUCUCUCUCAGAAUGUAAUUUGGUAGAGAAUGAGGAUGGCAGUUUCCUGCUACCUGACUUGAAUUUAAUGCCAUGUGAGGAAGCAACACUAUAUGAUUAUAAGUAUUGUAAGGUGAAGGAUACUCACUUAAACCAUUAGAAACUGGUUUUAUCAGAGUGGACUCAUCUGAUCAUCUUUGGCUCAGCUUCAGAAAAAGAGUCUGCCUCGCAGGAGCUCAAGAAAAAAUGGAAAAAGAUCUGCGUAUUCGUCCAUAUAUCACAGAUAAAGAUCAUAAGCAGAUGUGUAGGAUAAAGAAAAACAAAUAUUUUUUUGGUUUCUUUUGUAGUGUCAUUUUGUAAUGUUUGUCUAUAUUAGCACAAGGAGGAGUCAUUUUGUAAUGUUCUUUGAUGGCUCCUCGCUUAUAAAAUCCAAACAAACGAGCAACAUUGAAUUUAAAUGUCACUUUCGACAACCAUUAUC